UGACUCAACACGGGGAAACUCACCCGGUCCGGACACUGGAAGGAUUGACAGAUUAAAAGCUCUUUCUUGAUUCAGUGGGUGGUGGUGCAUGGCCGUUCUUAGUUGGUGGAGUGAUUUGUCUGGUUAAUUCCGAUAACGAACGAGACUCUAGCCUGCUAACUAGUUCGCCGGCAGCUCUUGUCGCGCGGCGCCGCUUCGGCGGCAAACUUCUUAGAGGGACAGGUGGCGUUUAGCCACACGAAGUAGAGCAAUAACAGGUCUGUGAUGCCCUUAGAUGUCCGGGGCCGCACGCGCGCUACACUGAAAGAAUCAACGUGGAUGCCCACCUGCUCCGAGAGGAGUGGGAAACCCGAUGAAUCUCUUUCGUGAUGGGGAUUGGGGCUUGUAAUUGUUCCCCAUGAACGAGGAAUUCCCAGUAAGCGUCAGUCAUCAGCUGGCGCUGAUUACGUCCCUGCCCUUUGUACACACCGCCCGUCGCUACUACCGAUUGAAUGGUUUAGUGAGACCCUCGGACUGGAGUCCGUCCGCCGCUUUCGGGUGGUGGAUGGGGACGGAAAGACGGUCGAACUUGAUCAUUUAGAGGAAGUAA
rnacentral:rRNA from 1 species